GAUUAAGCUCUCGAUAGUGACCUGCGGAGGGAUCAUU
rnacentral:rRNA from 1 species